rnacentral:rRNA from 1 species
AUUGAACGCUGGCGGUAUGCUUAACACAUGCAAGUCGAACGAUGAAGCCCAGCUUGCUGGGUGGAUUAGUGGCGAACGGGUGAGUAACACGUGAGUAACCUGCCCUUGACUCUGGGAUAAGCCCGGGAAACUGGGUCUAAUACCGGAUAGGAACGUCCACCGCAUGGUGGUUGUUGGAAAGAUUUAUCGGUCAUGGAUGGACUCGCGGCCUAUCAGCUUGUUGGUGAGGUAAUGGCUCACCAAGGCGACGACGGGUAGCCGGCCUGGGAGGGUGACCGGCCACACUGGGACUGAGACACGGCCCAGACUCCUACGGGAGGCAGCAGUGGGGAAUAUUGCACAAUGGGCGAAAGCCUGAUGCAGCGACGCCGCGUGAGGGAUGACGGCCUUCGGGUUGUAAACCUCUUUCAGUAGGGAAGAAGCGAAAGUGACGGUACCUGCAGAAGAAGCACCGGCUAACUACGUGCCAGCAGCCGCCGUAA